UGAAUACGAGAUGCUACGGCAUUGAAGCAGUCUAUGUCAGACUUCCAGGAAAAGCUCGCAAUGUCAGAAACAAUAAAUGCCUGUACCAUAACCGACACAGGUGGGUAGGUAGAGUAUACUAAGGGGCGCGAGAUAACUCUCUCUAAGGAACUCGGCAAAAUGACUCCGUAACUUCGGGAGAAGGAGUGCCUUAUUUUUAAGGUUGCAAUAACAAGAUCCAAGCAACUGUUUACCAAAAACACAGGUCUCCGCUAAGUCGUAAGACGAUGUAUGGGGGCUGACGCCUGCCCAGUGCCAGAAGGUUAAAGAAGUUGGUUAGCCUAGCGAAGCUGAUGACUGAAGCCCUGGUGAACGGCGGCCGUAACGAUAACGGUCCUAAGGUAGCGAAAUUCCUUGUCGGGUAAGUUCCGACCCGCACGAAAGGCGUAAUGAUUUGGAUACUGUCUCGGAGAGGGGCUCGGUGAAAUAGACUUGUCUGUGAAGAUGCGGACUACCUGCACCUGGACAGAAAGACCCUAUGAAGCUUUACUGUAACUUGAGAUUGAAAUUGGGCUUUAUUUGCGCAGCAUAGGUGGGAGACGUUGAGAAUAUUCUUGCGGGAAUAUUGGAGUCAUCAGUGAGAUACCACUCUUGUAAUGUUAGAUUUCUAACUUUGUAUCAUUAUCUGGUCAAAGGACAGUUUCAGGCGGGCAGUUUGACUGGGGCGGUCGCCUCCCAAAGGGUAACGGAGGCGCACAAAGGUUUCCUCUGAACGUGUAGAAAUCGUAUCUAGAGUGUAAAGGCAUAAGGAAGCUUGACUGUGAGACCUACAAGUCGAGCAGGGACGAAAGUCGGUCUUAGUGAUCUGACGGUGCUGAGUGGAAAGGCCGUCACUCAACGGAUAAAAGUUACUCUAGGAUAACAGGCUGAUCUCCCCCAAGAGUUCACAUCGACGGGGAGGUUUGGCACCUCGAUGUCGGCUCAUCGCAUCCUGGGGCGGUAAUGGGUCCCAAGGGUUGGGCUGUUCGCCCAUUAAAGCGGUACGCGAGCUGGGUUCAGAACGUCGUGAGACAGUUCGGUCCAUAUCCGGUGUAGGCGUUAGAAUAUUGAGAGGAGCUUUCUUUAGUACGAGAGGACCGAGAAGGACAUACCUCUGGUGUACCAGUUAUCGUGCCAACGGUAAACGCUGGGUAGCUAUGUAUGGAGUGGAUAACCGCUGAAAGCAUCUAAGUGGGAAGCCCACCUCAAGAUAAG
rnacentral:rRNA from 1 species